rnacentral:rRNA from 1 species
UUAGGAAUAUUCGACAAUGGGGGAAACCCUGAUCGAGCGAUGCCGCGUGAACGAUGACGGUCGAAAGAUUGUAAAGUUCUGUUAUAGGGGACGAACAAUUGCCAUAGGAAAUGAUGGUAAUCUGACGGUACCCUAUGAGAAAGCCCCGGCUAACUACGUGCCAGCAGCCGCGGUAAUACGUAGGGGGCGAGCGUUAUCCGGAUUUAUUGGGCGUAAAGCGUGUGUAGGCGGUUUAUUAAGUUUAAGAUCAAAGCCCGGAGCUUAACUCCGGUACGUCUUAAAAACUGGUAGACUUGAGUACAGUAGAGGCAAGCGGAAUUUCUAGUGUAGCGGUUAAAUGCGUAGAUAUUAGAAGGAACACCAGUGGCGAAGGCGGCUUGCUGGGCUGUUACUGACGCUG